rnacentral:rRNA from 1 species
UAGGGAAUAUUGGACAAUGGGUGAGAGCCUGAUCCAGCCAUGCCGCGUGCAGGAAGAAGGCGUUAUGCGUUGUAAACUGCUUUUGCCAGGGGAUAAAACGGUUCUGCGGAACUAAUUGAAGGUACCUGGUGAAUAAGCCACGGCUAACUACGUG